AGACGAACCGUGCAAACGUUGUUCGGAAUCACUGGGCUUAAAGGGCGCGUAGGCGGGCCAGCCAGUCUGUGGUGAAAGCCUCCAGCUUAACUGGAGAAGUGCCGUGGAUACUGCUGGCCUCGAGGAGGGUAGGGGCAUCUGGAACGGUCGGUGGAGCGGUGAAAUGCGUUGAUAUCGACCGGAACUCCGGUGGCGAAGGCGAGGUGCUGGACCCUUUCUGACGCUGAUGCGCGAAAGCCAGGGGAGCAAACGG
rnacentral:rRNA from 1 species